GAUGAAGAACGCAGCGAAAUGCGAUACGUAAUGUGAAUUGCAGAAUUCAGUGAAUCAUCGAAUCUUUGAACGCACAUUGCGCCCGCCAGUAUUCUGGCGGGCAUGCCUGUUCGAGCGUCAUUACAACCCUCAGGCCCCCGGGCCUGGCGUUGGGGAUCGGCGGAGCCCCCCGUGGGCACACGCCGUCCCCCAAAUGCAGUGGCGGUCCCGCCGCAGCUUCCAUCGCGUAGUAGCUAACACCUCGCGACUGGAGAGCGGCGCGGCCACGCCGUAAAACACCCAACUCUUCUGAAGUUGACCUCGAAUCAGGUAGGAAUACCCGCUGAACUUAAGCAUAUCAAUAAGCGGAGGA
rnacentral:misc_RNA from 1 species